UAGAGGUUAAGAGAUCAGCAAAGAGUUCCCAGCAACACUGAUUUAACACAGGAAGCAUUGGGAAAGUCUAAGAUUAAGCUGUUCAGCUAAAGCCAGAACGGAAGCUGAGGCAAGAAAAAGAAAACAUGGGUUCAUAAAUAUGAUGACGUCUGUGUGCCAGGAAUAUAAGCCACAAUAGUUGUAAAACCUAGGUACAAAAAGUUCAUUAUAGAUUCUAGAAAGUAAGUCAGAGUUGGUAAUUGUGUCACCGUAGAUUAAUCUAUUUCCUCUUUUGAUUAAAAAGUCAAGGGAGUGCAAAUGCAAUCAGAUAAAGCACAUGGUUCUCCUACUGCAAAGCAGCAAGCUGCUACAUGUCUCUUGUAACUGUGGGUACAGAGGAAUUUACAAUACCUUGGACUGCUACAGAGGACAGUGGAGCUGUCUCUAAGUGUUACCUUCAAAAGGCUUGUGGUGCUCAAACCUGCAGCUGUCAUGUUCUUCUAGAAGUGGGCAGAUGGACUAGGAUUAAAGGAAUUCUCCUCCAGCCGGAUCAUCCUGAAGGAAUGAAAUACACUGUUCUGGAGGAAUACUGUCCUCCUUGGAAAUCCAAGACUUCAGAACAGCACAUUACAGAAAGAAACCAGUUUUGCUACAUAGAAAAAUUAAAAAAAGAAGCCAAA
rnacentral:lncRNA from 1 species